CCCAGGAUAAACUAAUUAAGUUGUUGGGCUCAUAACCUGAAUAUGAGGGUUUCCUCUCCUGGGC
rnacentral:tRNA from 1 species